rnacentral:rRNA from 1 species
UACGAAGGGUGCAAGCGUUAAUCGGAAUUACUGGGCGUAAAGGGUGCGUAGGCGGUUCGUUAAGUCUGUCGUGAAAUCCCCGGGCUCAACCUGGGAAUGGCGAUGGAGACUGCAAGGCUAGAAUCUGGCAGAGGGGGGUAGAAUUCCACGUGUAGCAGUGAAAUGCGUAGAUAUGUGGAGGAACACCGAUGGCGAAGGCAGCCCCCUGGGCUACGAUUGACGCUCAUGCACGAAAGCGUGGGGAGCAAACAGG